UAAGGAAUAUUGGACAAUGGAUGGAAAUCUGAUCCAGCCAUGCCGCGUGCAGGAAGACGGCCCUAUGGGUUGUAAACUGCUUUUGUAUGGGAGCAAUAAGGACUACGUGUAGUUUGAUGAGAGUACCAUACGAAUAAGCAUCGGCUAACUCCGUGCCAGCAGCCGCGGUAAUACGGAGGAUGCGAGCGUUCUCCGGAUUUAUUGGGUUUAAAGGGUGCGUAGGCGGCGAUAUAAGUCAGUGGUGAAAUAUUUCGGCUUAACCGAGAGACUGCCAUUGAUACUGUGUUGCUAGAAUAUGGUUGCUGUGAGUGGAAUGUGUGGUGUAGCGGUGAAAUGCUUAGAUAUCACACAGAAUAUCGAUUGCGAAGGCAGCUCACAAAGCCAUUAUUGACGCUGAGGCACGAAAGUGUGGGGAUCAAACA
rnacentral:rRNA from 1 species